UAGUGGCGGACGGGUGAGUAACGCGUGAACAAUCUGCCCUGUACAAAGGAAUAGCCUCGGGAAACCGGGAUUAAAACCGUAUGACACUUUUUUGCCGCAUGGUAGUAAAGUCAAAUAUUUCAUAGGUAUGGGAUGAGUUCGCGUCUGAUUAGCUAGUUGGUAAGGUAACGGCUUACCAAGGCGACGAUCAGUAGCCGGCCUGAGAGGGUGAACGGCCACACUGGAACUGAGACACGGUCCAGACUCCUACGGGAGGCAGCAGUGGGGAAUAUUGCACAAUGGAGGGAACUCUGAUGCAGCGACGCCGCGUGAGUGAAGAAGGUCUUCGGAUCGUAAAACUCUGUCCUUGGUGAAGAAAAAAAUGACGGUAGCCAAGGAGGAAGCCCCGGCUAACUACGUGCCAGCAGCCGCGGUAAUACGUAGGGGGCGAGCGUUGUCCGGAAUUACUGGGCGUAAAGCGCGCGCAGGUGGCUUGUUAAGUCAGGUGUCAAAAUGCGGGGCUCAACCCCGUAUCGCACUUGAAACUGGCAGGCUUGAGUGCAGGAGAGGAAAGUGGAAUUCCUAGUGUAGCGGUGAAAUGCGUAGAUAUUAGGAGGAACACCAGUGGCGAAGGCGGCUUACUGGACUGUAACUGACGCUGAGUCACGAAAGCGUGGGUAGCAAACAGGAUUAGAUACCCUGGUAGUCCACGCUGUAAACGAUGAGUGCUAGGUGUUGGGUAGCGAUACUCAGUGCCGGAGUAAACACAAUAAGCACUCCGCCUGGGGAGUACGUACGCAAGUAUGAAACUCAAAGGAAUUGACGGGGACCCGCACAAGCAGCGGAGCAUGUGGUUUAAUUCGA
rnacentral:rRNA from 1 species